rnacentral:lncRNA from 1 species
GAGCGUUAGUCAUAGGGCUACUGAAACACAAGGUGACUACUUGAAGGUGGCUAGACGAGAGCAUACUGCCACCACUCUUUAUUUGGAGGCCUGUAACCUGUCUUGAGUGUGUUGCAGGAAGACUCAGUUACAGUGUUCCCUGAAUAUGUAGCUUUCCAUUACAAUAGUAUGCAAGCCAAGAUGAAACCACCUCUGUUUGGGUUUCAGCAGCUGUCUGCCUACGGAAGGCUCCAGAGUCCCUGACGCAUAUUUAUAUCUCCACUUCACUGAAGUCACAAGGAACAAACACACACCUGCCAUUUCCCAAAUCUCAUAAAACAUAUAAAUGGAUGAGACCAAAGAGAGGCA